GAGCCAUUCAAAGCAAACUAACUGUGCUAUUGUGCCCAAGUUGAUACCUGUGGAGAGAAAAGGAGAGAGAGUGGGUAACACGAGGAGAGACCGAGGAAACCUGUACUUACGCCGCUGCCUGUGGAGAAAGAGAAAGCGACCGUUGCCUGAAGAGAAAGAGACCGUUGCCUGUGGAGGAAGAGAAAGAGAGUGAGCACCCCGAGAACGAACUGUGUGAACCAGUACUUACCGUGAGCUGUAUUCAGCGAAGAGGAGGAAGAAGGAGGGCGCUACGGAUACCUAAGACUCAGGCCGGGGCCCGAGUCCCACGCCCCGGAUCCCCGUGGCCCCCUUGCUCCCUGACCUCUUCCCGGCCAUAGCCCAUCUGGAGGGCCGAGUCAGAGUUUAGUUUUAAUUGCCCUUUCCCUAUUCCCCA
ensembl:lncRNA